rnacentral:tRNA from 1 species
GUGGGUAUAGUUCAGUGGUUAGAGCGCCAGAUUGUGGUUCUGGAUGUCGUGGGUUCGAAUCCCAUUACCCACCCCA